rnacentral:lncRNA from 1 species
UUUCAUGACUAGUUUUGUAUGACUAUAUGGAAGUACUUGAUCAUUAAUUGAAUGUUGAAUGAGAAGUUAUCUCAAGGUGAUGUAUUUGAUAUGAAUUAUGUGAAUGAGAUGAUAUUGGUGAGUCCAUAUACAUUGUUUACUAUGAUAUAAUAUUAAUUAUGCAUGAGGUGAUGAAUUAUUGAUGUGAUUGCAUAAAUGCAAAUAAAUAUUGGUGAUGAUAUGGUGAG